rnacentral:hammerhead_ribozyme from 1 species
UCACUGCACAAGAGUCCCAUAAUAAGACGAAACGGCCGUCCAGUGA